rnacentral:lncRNA from 1 species
AUUUCUGGAAGGACUGUGUUGUGAUUUACGUGGGGUCUCCAGCACUUCCUGGGUCUGCUGUCUGCUUAAUAUCUACCAAAUGCAUGAAUGAACUAAACAAAUAACUGUAUAAGGAUCAUCUCAGUACAGCAGGGAGAACUCACAUGUGGGUGAAUCCAACCAUGAACCUGACAUCUACUGUGUCUGUGAUAAAAAGAAAAUACUAAAAAAAAAAAAGAAAG